UAUCAGUUUCCGGUCGAACUGUUCGUCGCCGUCUCGUAGCACAGGGGUUGAAUAGCAAAGUUGCCCGGAAGCGCCCAUUUAUCAGCAAGGCAAACAAAGCCAAACGGCUUAAGUUUUCUAAGGAGCAUGCUGAUAAGCCCCUAGAGUUCUGGAAAACGGUUCGAGCUGUUUAAUCGAAAGCGGCGGGUUCGUGUGUCUGAAGAUCGGCUGAGGAGCUUCAGGAGCGCCACAUUCAAGGCACGGUGAAGCAUGGAGGAGAAAAUGUGAUGAUCGACGGGAUAAUGACGGCAGAUUCCUACAUCAACAUCCUGCGGGAAAAUCUGGAGGUUUCGCUGAUCCAGACGGGCCUUGAAGAGAAGUUCGUAUUUCAGCAGGACAAUGACCCUAAGUAUACUGUCUAGAAGACCAAGUCUUUCUUCCGGUCUUGUCGGAUCAAACAGCUGGAAUAGCCUCCACAAAGCCCGGACCUCAACCCCAUCGAGAAUUUGUGGGCGAUUCUUGAUA